GCACAGCAAAAUAUCUUUCAUAUUAGCUUGUGAUUAGGCUAUCUUUGGUUCAGUAGUUUAAAGGGACAUAGCAGCAUAGUAUAGCACAUCAAAAUAUCUUUUAUAUUAGCUUGUGAUUAGGCUAUCUUUGGUUCAGUAGUUUAAAGAAGAAGGAUCAUCGUACUUAGAUGAAGAGUAAGAUUUUCAUCAUAACAAAAAAGUGGUAGAAGCU
rnacentral:lncRNA from 1 species